AUGUGCUAUAUUUCCUGUUUUCUUGUGCAUAUUAUUCAAAAACAGCCAAAAUCUGGCCAAUUAAAAAAACGCUUAAUCCCGGUUAAGCUGCGCUUAAGCGGACAUUGCUCUAAGUUGUGGCCUUCCGCUCCGCUUACGCUUACCGCUUUCUUGAACAUUGUUCUUAAGAAUAAAAUUGCUCGUUCCAACUUCAUGGAAAUCAUGUCUAUUGCUAUUGAGGGCAAGAAAUAUAUUGAUGAGUUGGAAUCUCGUCUUGAGGAGCAUGAGGUCACCAUUGAUAAAAUGGAAGGUCAUGAGCGUGAUUACGCUAAUGAGAUUGCGGACCUCUCUCAAGCUCUUGAACUUGAACAAACCACCAAGGAAUCUCUUGAGGAGACUUUUGCCCUAGAAUUAUCUAGAGUGAGGGAAUCUCGUGAUAGAGCUCUUGAGGUGGCCAAUGUUUUUGAAACUAAAAAUGAGGAGCUUGAAGUUGCGCAUGCUAAACUCCUUGAGGACUUUGAGCACCUCGAAAAUGGCUCAAGGGUCAUUAAGAGUGAGCUCAUCAAACUCACCGAGUCUCAUGCUCAACUUAAAGCUUCAUAUUCAAAAGAGCUUGCCAAGUUGUCUUCUCCUCUUGUUGUUAAUGAUGAUGCUUGUUCUACUAACUCUAUCUCUUGUGAAGCAUCCAUAUUGAAGGAGAAUGUUGAGCUAAGGGCUCAAUUUGAGUUGCUAUCUAGCAAUUAUGGGAUGUUGGAAGAAAAUCAUGUAAUGCUCACAAACUCUCAUGAUGAUCUUCUAGUAUCCCAUAAUGUGCUAAAUUUAGCUCAUGAGGCCAUGCUUGUUAAGGUAACAUCUAGUGAGCCUCAUGUGGAUACUAGCACUACUUCUAGUCAAAAUGCUAUAUUGCCUUGUGCUAGUCCUCGCGCUUCAUCCAUGCAUAACAUUGGUACAUCUUGUGAUGAAUUGCUUUCCUUGCCUUGUGCUCUAACGAUGAAGGUUAUACUUCCUCUAGUGCUUGUGUUGAGACUAACCAUGUAG
rnacentral:rRNA from 1 species